UGGAGAUGGGUUACAUUAAGUUUAAUUUGGCGGUUUUAUAAAUGUGAAUUUAUAAUUAAGUUGGAUUUGAUAGUAAUUUAUUUAAUAUUAUUUAUUUGAUUUUGGCUCUGAGUCAGAUGUGUAUAAGAGACAGGUACUGGAAAGUGUACCUAGUAAGUGAUCAAGAUAAAGCUCAAUUAGUUGAGUUUUUCAUUUACACUGAAGAUUAUUUCUGUGCAAGUCAGUU
rnacentral:rRNA from 1 species